GCAGCAGCCGCGGGAAUACGAGGGGGGCAAGCGUUGUUCGGAAUUAUUGGGCGUAAAGGGUGCGUAGGCGGUUUGACAAGUCUUGUGUGAAAUCUAUGGGCUCAACCCAUAGUCUGCACGGGAAACUGUCGGGCUUGAGAAUGGGAGAGGUGAGUGGAAUUUCCGGUGUAGCGGUGAAAUGCGUAGAUAUCGGAGGGAACACCUGUGGCGAAAGCGGCUCACUGGACCAUUACUGACGCUGAGGCGCGAAAGCGUGGGGAGCAAACAGGAUUAGAUACCCGCGUAGUCCCUGUCUCUUAUAC
rnacentral:rRNA from 1 species